GCUCCGCUCGUCUAGCCCGGUCAAAAAAAUACCGCUAGGAUACGGCCCUUUCGAGGCCGUGACGCGGGUUCAAAUCCCGCGCGGAGCA
rnacentral:tRNA from 1 species